UACGUAGGGGGCAAGCGUUGUCCGGAAUCAUUGGGCGUAAAGCGCGUGUAGGCGGCCCGGUAAGUCCGCUGUGAAAGUCGGGGGGCUCAACCCUCGAAUGCCGGUGGAUACUGUCGGGCUAGGAGUGCGGAAGAGGCGAGUGGAAGUUCCUGGUGUAGCGGUGAAAUGCGCAGAUAUCAGGAGGAACACCAAUUGCGAAGGCAGCUCGCUGGGACGUGACUGACG
rnacentral:rRNA from 1 species